AAUAAGUAUAUUGAAUAAUAAGCAAUUCUAUUGUAUUAUUGUAAUUGUAGAAUAAAACUAAAUCGGCAAAACUAGAGAAAUUUAGUGACGCAAAGCUAUAGGGACUAACGCUUAUAAAAUAAACUAUGAGUUAUGUCAGCCAGUUGCCAAAAAGAGAUAUUCUUUUUGUUUUUAUGAAAGUUUUUUAGGGGGAUAAUAAUAUAUAUGUUUAGAGAUAAAAUGGAUAGAUGUACACAUAUGUUGACUGCUUAUAUUGGUAGUUCAUAUGAUUAUUGUGAUUUUAUAGAUACACAACUAGAUGAUUUUAUACUAGAGUACGGAGAAAAUGUGGUAGAAUCUUGUUUGCAUCAAGUGAUGGUAUUAGUAAGUAAGUAUAAUUAAAUAGAUUUGGUUUUCUAGAGAACCCUUUUUAGUUUUAUCUACUUUAAAUAGCCUUAUGUUAGAAAGCUAAUUAAGAUAGAUUUCUAGUAUUCAUAAUUUUAUUUUUUAUUUAAAAUACAUAUAAUAAAGAUGUAAAUUUGUAUCAAAUAAUAAAUAUGAGAACUUAAAUUCUCUUAUCUAUGUGAAAAUAAACAUCUCUUAAAAUGAAAUUCUGUAAACAUAAAUGAUUUUUUAGUUUGAAGGAUUAGAUUAACAAAAUUAUAAAUUUGCAAAUAAGCUAUAUUAAAAAAUAUAAUAAUUUUUUAUAUAACUUAUUCUUUUAUAACUUUUAAUUUUAAAAGAGGAGAAUGUAUAUAAGAGUAUUCAAUGUACUAGAAAAAAUCAAAAGAAAUAUUAGAAGAAAUGGAUAUUGAGUAAUCAAAGAAAAGAUUUUGAUAUUACAAAUGAUAUGUUUCAAGAAAGCAUUCCUAUCACAACAAAAAUUAUUCUUGAAGACAUGUCUUCAAAUGAUGAAUUAAAUCAUAUUUUUUCAAAAGGUUGUGAACGAAAAAUGAAAAAGAGAAAAAUUGUAUUAAUCACACUACUAUUAAUAGGUGUUUUGUUAUUGGGAAGUAUCCUAUAUAAUCUUUUUUUAGGAAAAACAGCUAAUAUUUCAAUGCUAAAGGAAUCUUGGAAUUUUGAUAUACCAAUACCUAACAAAGAAAUUGAAGUAUUUGAUACUCAAGAUAGUAUUAAUGGAGAUGGACAAAGUUAUUUUAUUCAAGGAUUUUCUGAAAAAAAUUUCAAAAAAGUUUUUAAUUUAAAAGGUGGUAUAGUUGUAAGUAAAGAUAAUAUUAAUGAAAUAGAAAAAUAUAUUGAUAAAUUUAAAAGAGAUUCUAUUAACAUUAAUAAAAGUAAUAAAAAUAAAAUUGAAGAAGAUUUUAAAAAAUAUAAGUUAGAAGUUAAAAAAGAUGAUAAGUAUAUAUAUAAGAGAAAUUAUGAGAACUACGUAGUUUUAAUUAUAAAAAAAGAUGAACAAAAAUUAUACAGUUUAAUAUGGAAUCAGUAGGUACAUAUGUAUUAUUAAGAAUUAUAAAUAAUAAAAAUAAAUUUUAGUCAAUAUACAAAAACCUUUUAAAUUGUCUGGAAAUCACCUCUUCAUUUGUUAUAAAAACAUACAACAAAUGAAGAGGUGAUUUUAUGGUUUUAAAAAAAAUAAUUAUAAGUGGAUAUGUGCUUUCACAUGUUUAUCAACAUUUGUAAUGCCUAUAUUUGCUAAUGAAUUAUAAAAAUAUUAAAUAAUAUUCAACUAUAGAUUAUGUAAAUUACUCUAUGAAAAAAAUGAGUUGUAUAAAAUCUGGCUACUGUAGAUUGACUAUUUCUUUUAAAAUUACAAUUAUAAUAAGUUUUAUAGAAUUAAAAAUAAAACUUUAGAGAUUUUUGAUAACAUUGUAGACUAAAUUUGCCACCGAAAUCGCUUUACAGUGGCAAAUCGGUGGCAAAUACAAUAUAUUAUUAGUAUAUAAUCUAUAUAAACAUUACUAUUGUUUGAUUAUCUUAGCUACAGUUUCAACUUGCUCAUCAUUUUCCAAACUUAUAUUAAGAUCUUCAUCAAUGAUAGGUAGCUUAAAAGUAAUGGAUUUUAGCCAUUGUCCAUUAGGCUGCUUUUCUUCAUAAAUUUGAAUUUCUGAAAUGAGUGCUUCUAUUAACUGCCUGCGUUCAACAUCGUUCAUGACUUUAUAAAGCUUGUCAAAAUAAAUCAAUACUUUAUAUAUGUUAUCACCAGUAAGUUUCUCAACCUCUAUCGUUUCUUUUUUUGCUUUAGCUUCUAUUAACUGACUUUCUAAUUCCUCAAUUUUAUCGUACAUACGAUAAAGCCUAUCAUCUAAAUCAUUUUUUCUUCUCUUAUAAUGUUUAUCCUCAACAUCUAAAUUAUCUAUUUCCUCAAUAAGCUUAUAC
rnacentral:rRNA from 1 species